UUUGGAAAAUGUGAUCGCUUGGAAUUGUGAUCCAACGAUUCCUUAUGCGUAUAGUUGGAAUAAUGACGAAAGUGUCAACCGAGGCGAUGAUAUUGGCGUCAUAGUAGAUCUUACCAUGGACAUAAUUAUCCCAUUGUGCGUAACUCAUAGGCGUGCGCAGGAUUUUGUGUCGGGUGCAGCAUACAUUUUUAACCGAUCCUAAAGAACAACAAGCUCGAGGGAAUUGUCUACCGUCAUUACGUCGGCUAGUCAGCAGAUGGAAUACAUCUUUAACAUCAAUGUGGACGACACAGACUCUGAUGACUCUAGUUCUACAGAAGUGUGGAAUGAUCCAAUUUUUCGUUUUAUUCAUUACAAUACUGAAUACUUCAAACAAAGACAAUUAAUCCAGCCAACGCCUGAAUUGUCACUAUAACACGAUAUAAUUGCAGUAUAUUAACUGGCAAGAUCAAUUACCUAUAAUAUGCACACACAGAAAGCAAAAAUUCAAUAAAUAUACUUAGAUCAAGUUUAAACAAUUUUUUUUUUUUAGUUUCACAAAAUGCCCCCUUGCAUCAAUGUAAUUAUAUAUUAAAUAUAUAUAUUUUUUGCAAUUGUACUAUUUUAUAAACAUAACAACUAUAAGAGCAUCUUCAAUAAAUAAUUUUCAUAAGUGUUCUUGAUCAUUAUACAUUUAAACAAAUUAAAAAAGGCGACCAAACGCCACCCUUUCCCCACCUCAUAUAACUAUACUGUUCCUACCUGUGCCAAUACAAACAAAUACACUUAGAUAAAAACUGUAAACAUCAUGUUUUGUCUAGUAUUGUACAUAUUACUAUAUAAUAGUAUUUAUUGUUAUCCUAGGCUAAUGAUCCAUUGUCAUUGAUCCUUAAUAUUAAGGGGAUUGGAAGCAGUGAUUUUCUGUCUUUGUCUUACACACGUGGAAUAUAGGAAAAAUAGCUAUACGCGCCUGAUAAAAAUUAAGAUACUUUAGUUGUUCGAUUUAAAAUAUGUAAAGAUGAUUGAAUUGGUAUACAAGUUUACUUUGCAUCGGUCAAAGCAUAUUUUUAAUAUAUUUAAUAAUAAAAAUUGACAAAUUUAAAAUAUUUAUUUUAAAUAAUAAAACAAUCGAAAAAGUGCUUCGACCGAUGCAAAGUAAACUUGUAUACCAAUUAAAACAUCUUUACAUAUUUUAAAUCGAAUAACUAGAAGUACCUUAAUUUUUGUCAGGCGUAUAUCUAUGUUCCACGUGUAUUAGACAAAGACAGAGUCACCGCUUCCAAUCCCCUUAAUAACAAAAUAAAAUACCCAUGUAUUGGAUAAAAUAGAUAUAAUAGAAAUCAUAAUAUUUAAGUCAAAUUAUUAUAUUAUAUAAUUGAUUACAGAUGUGUGGAUAAAAUAGUAUAAAUUAUGAUUUGACAAAUUUUUUUUUUUUUAGUCUAACUCAAAAGUAAAUAUUUGUAGUUACCUUGAAAUGUUUAUCAAAUGUUUAUAUUAGCACUAGUCCAUCUAUUUAAUACAUUAUUAUGCCAUAUUCAAAAUUUGUUGAUUAAUAUUAAUAUUAAUA